ensembl:ncRNA lncRNA:CR45232 long non-coding RNA:CR45232
CAGAUACACUUCAACUCGGUUUCAGACUCCGCAGAGCCGCAGACGCGCUUACAUCGAUCGGUUUCGCCUAAUAAAGCGACCGCGAUCGCCACGCUAAUUAAAAUAAUUGAAAUUUCUCACGGGAAACGCGCAUCGCGACACUUGCAGGGCAUCCUAUGUCCACUCUAUAUAUCCCCAUACCCCAUUCGCCAUCCCAAUGCCAUUCUACUUCCCCAUCCUCUGCGAUAUCCGUUGCUAGUGCGGCUAAUUGCAAAUUGCAACAUGGACAUGUGGACAUGUCCAACAAUCGAAUUGACAGCUGCUUUACCCCUGGCACAUUUGAUGGACAUUAACAUGGAUCAUCGUCCGUUGUCCCAUUCGUGCUCCUCCACUCGCUGGCGCUGGCAAGGAUUCCAGCAUAAAUGCAUAAAUUUCAUUAGUCGCUGACAGGACGGUGCCAGCUAGUGUUGAGUCCCUAAAUUAAGUGGACGGGUCAACUGAGUUAUUCCAAGCUCUGAUUGAGACCGUUAACCCAUUGUUGGCCAUAUUCCUGGGCAUACUUAUGUAUUUAAUGUAUUGAUACUUUUAUUUAAUAUUUAAAAUGACACUAUUCAUAUCAGUAAAAGAUCAGUUAGAAUCAGGUUGGUUUAAGGGGAAGCUUAGUUUUUCUCCAUAUCCUGUGAUAAUAUCCUGUGAUGAUAUUCUGAUAAAAAAAUAACAAAUUUCCAAAAUUUGUACAUCAAAAGCACAAUUUUCUGUUUCUUCCAUUGGAAAUAGUAAAUUCAUAGUAAAAUAUUAAUAAAAGUAUUCUUAAUAAUCUUUUUGAUUUUUUUCGAAAGAAAUGAUGAACAUAAUAAUAACAUAAUAUUAUUAUUAACCAAUUGUAAAGGCAGAAUCGUAAGAGAAAUAUUGUUUAAAUAGGCUUCAAGGAUUUUCCAACUUCAUUGCGAUUUUACUGAAACCAAAUCUCUUUAGUUCCCUCAGAAAAUGGGUUAAUGGUGCCACAGGAAAUGGCGACCACAAAUAAAAGUAACUAAACGCAGAGUUCCACAAAAUAUUGUUGCCUGCGAUCGUGGAUCGUGGCAUGCGCACUCUGAUCGAGAUCGCAGCGACAGAUAGCGGAGCAAAGUUACGAUCAUACAUAUGCAUAUAGAGUGGGGCCUCGAUGCCCCAAAGAACCCCACCACCUUCUCCAUAUCCUCGCCUUUGGGGCCGUAAAGUUGUCGAAAAUGAUUUGCAGAUCAAGAUUUGUGCGCACAAUUUAUGUGAUAACCCACUAAGAGCAGUGGAGUAAGACAAAAAAAAAAGUUGCAAUACCAAUGGUCCAGAUCGGUCCACUCUCCCUGACCAUGUCCUGCUCCUUCCGAUCCUCCUACAGCGUCCAAUUAGUGCGUAGACUCCAGUUUCAUUCGAAAUUCAUGGACAAUUGUUAGUGCCUCCGUGUAGCCGCUAAUAAUGACGCCUUUAAAUGUGCAAUAACAAUUUUUGAGGCGCGCAAAAAGUGACUACUAUAUAUAUUCUCAUAUAUAUAUAUAUAUAUUAUACACUGCAUUCGUGUGCGUGAGCUUAAGUACCGCCCAUAGGCCAGCAAACCAGCUACUGCUGCAGUGACUCCCCCUCAAAAGCCCCCCAACUUCGCGUUCCAGACGAUCUACAAAAAAGUUGCUCAUGAGCUACGUGAGUUUUUUACUGAUCAGCUAGCCGAGAGCAGAAGAUUGACUUUGAUCUGUUGGUGGUAAUGGGUAAUGGGUAAUGGAUAAUGGGCCAGCCUGAGUGCACUUUUCACUUAGCCUGGCCAAUUGGCAUCCCAAAUAUGACUCAUAAAGUGUGGUAUCUACAAAGUUGCUUAAGUCACGUUACGUAUACGCACCGUGUGCCCACAAACAUCUCAGCGGAAUUCAAUGAUAAUAUGAUAAUGAGCACGUUGAUAGAUUGCCUUGACAUUUUAUCAUCGACUCAACUUUAAAUGGAGCUGUUAAGGGGAGAACUUCAUUUACUCGUGAUUUUGUUAGCAGAUUGCCAAAUUAGGUGAAAAUCCGUGCAACAACUAUGCAAUGUAAUGCAGUGGGUGGAGUAAACAUUGGUUGUCAUGAGAAUCACACCACCCACGACUUUUAUCAAUAUCUGCGAUAAUGAUGGAUCCCAAUGGAAAUUUCUUUGUUUGUUGCUCACAUUAAUGGGAAUGUAGUUGAGUCAUUGAUUAAACUUUCCACAGUUGCUAAACAGAAAAAAAGUACAAGAAUAUGUGACAUAAAGUUACUUCUACUUUAAAUAAUACCAUGUUUAUAAUUGAAAAGGUAUAUAAAUUUGUAUAAAAUUGUUGUAACCUUUUCUACGCCCUGAAGGAUUUAUAACCCUGCUCCAGUCAAAUGAACUGUCAAUCUUGCGGUCGUAAUCAUUAAUCAAUUUAAUGCACUGCGUUUGGCUGAUUAAAAUUGGGUGCAUGUCCGCCUUCAGUCAACCAAAUUAAGCCCUUGGGAGUGGCCCCAGCCGCCCAAUUGAAAUGCCAACUCAUGUCCGGGGACAUGGGAUUUGGAGUUGGACCACAAGCUUGGAGGUUGGAGCUGAAAAGCCAAGACCGCCCGGUCGACAGGCGAACAAAGUGUGUGUCAGUUGCAGUCAAGUGGAGCCAUAAAGCUCCACGAUCCCACAGAUCGACGGUGGCGAUGUCAGCUACUGGCGAUCAGUCACCGGCGAACGGGAAUUGGAUUGGGAUUUGGAUUUGGAUAUGGAUAUGGAUGUGGUUUUGGAUUCGGUUGUGGGCGGUUUUCGCUUUUGGAUUUAUGGCCUGCCCAACGUCAGCCUAAUGAGCAGCCUGCAUCCAUAAUGCCGGCCCAAAGAGACAUUGAGCAUUGGAAAAAUACAGUAAAAAAAUAUAUGGGUAAAAUAGAAAAAGAAAAAAGUCAAUUGGAUUAGAUUAGACGGCGCAGCUGUCGUGACAGGUUGAGCGCUGAGUUUGGAGCUAAGAGCUGGGAGCUUGGAGCUUGGAGUUUGGGAAACGGGCACGAAUGAGAAUUUAUGGCCAAUGCCAGCCGAGCUGGAUCUUGGCCAGAUUUAGAGCUCUGGCUGCGUGCAGGGAACGCAAUAUGUUAUAAUGACUUCAUUACAUACAAAAAAUAAGCAACAGGAGUCGCAACGUAACGCUGGCUGGAAAAUUGCAAUAAAAAACGCGGCUUUAUUUUGACUUUUUCCCUGCCAAAUUUGGCCGCCUUGAUUCGUCGCAUAAUUGGCAAUUAUCGUGGCAGAUCGAAACGUGGGCGAUAUCCCCCAUUUCAAUAGCUAUUUUUUUUGUGUGUGGGUUUAUCUUUUGCUGCUUUUUCCUCGAUAUAGGUGGCACGCAAUCCCUGCGGGUUGUCUUUGUAUCUGUCAGGAUUUAUGCACUAAUGCACUUCAUUUCGGCUCAUUGUUUAUUGUGGCUGUGGGCAUGGUCAGGUGCGGUUAGCGGCCAUUUAUUAAUUGCAAAAACCAUUCACUUUGCCUCCAGUUGCGCCGAUUUAGCCUUAGGCCUCCAAGUGAAUGGGACCGAAAAAAAGAAAAAACAAACAUAGAGGAGAAACAAAAAUACAGCCAAACUCCUGCACGCACAUUUGCAUUUUGUGGCUGAAAUUAGCGUCUAAUUGGAGUUUACACGCUGCAUAUUUUAUUCGCAAAUAAAUUGUGUUUUUGCAGCGCCCGCUUUUUGGGGAUUCGAUUCGAUUUGAUUUGAUUUGAUUUUUCUAUUUGCUGCUUUUUGCCUUUGCCAAUUGCCAUUUGCCGAAUUUGUCAGCGUUUCUCGCUCUCUCAAUCUGAAUAGGCCCCAAGUCAAGUGCUGCGGGCCAUUCACCACGCACCAAUAUUAUUAAAUCACAGCGCAAACACCUGCAAUGGCUGCUCGACUUUGGCCUAUGCGGCGUAUGCGUGAUUUAUAAUUGCGAGCCACUAACACCAAUGCGUCGCACACACUCGCGUGCAUUUGAACACACUCAGACACACACGCACACACACACACAUACACCGGCACAGGUGCACGCAGGUAGGCGUGUUCAUUAGACGGCCUUAAAAACGCACACACUCCAAAAUGGCGACCAUAUCGCCAUCGUGCCUCACAGCCAACUUAUAAAUUGAGCAACCAAGAGCCAAUCUCGCAAGUGACACAAAUCGCACGGGGCGCAGGUGGCGAUCGCCCAGAUUCAUUCGAUGAGAUCACCACAAGUUCCCAGGAGCCCAAUCGGAUCCGCAUUCCAUUUGAACCUUAUUGAAUGAUAACCUUAAAUAGGUAAAAAAAAAAUGAUUUUGAUCUAGCCUAAAUCUACUAUAAAAGUUAUCAAGAUAAAGAUUAGCAAGAGUAUGUAAAAAGUAUAUAGAACUGCCUUUGAAGAUCUUCAAUUUCGUGAUAUACAACCGAAAUUCAACGCAAGAGACUAGUUAGUUUGAACUUUUUUUUAUUUAAAUGUAGAUUGGUUAGCACAUAAAAUACAUCCAAUUCUUAGCCAUUCUCUUCGCUGUUCUGGAAGAUAUACUAUUUAAAGUUUCAAUAUUAAAAUUUUGCAUUUGCAUUUGCAUUUGCAUUUUGUUUGCUAAGUAUCUAGCUGAAAUCUAGAAUCUGAGUCGGUUUCAUGAGAGCACCACAGUUAUUUGUGAAAUUCAAACUCAGCUACGAGAUACUUUUAUGGAAUUCGCACCUGCACAAUGUGGAUGUAUUUCAGAGAUCUUCCCCAGAAAUCGGAUGCAUGGCAUGUCGCCAGCAGAUGGAAGCAUCUUAAGCAUCUCCAGUUACUGCUGCUCCUGCUCCGUUUUCAGCGUGUUGAACAAGUGCUUGGGAUUCGGUGUGAAGUGAAGUGGAGUGCAUUGGAGUUAUCUCUGAGCUGUGCUUUCGGUGGCUUCGGUGGCUUCAGUUCCACUGGCGAGUGACAGGCGGUGGCUACCAGCGGGCAGCUGGAAAUUCGAUACGCCAUUUGCUGCUCCGACUAAUCCCGACGCGAUUCGGGAUGCACUGCCCACUCUGGGCUGGCAUUUUCCAAUUAACUUCGCAUUAGCCACCGCCCAAAGAUGGGUUCCACGCAAAUAUUCAUAUUCCACUGCUGCCGGCUGUCAGUCGGAGCCAUGUAACGUCAUCCGGGAACAUGACAGACGCGGUCUAAUCCCGCAUCCACGGCCAUAUCCGCGCCAGCGUUUGGCCAGCAAAAUUAUUAACGCCAUUAACGGCAAUAGAAAUAUUUGUGCAGGCCACUCGAAGACGCCCAGCCCCCCAACCACCCCGCUUAAUAAUAUCCAAACGAGUUCCACGGAGGAAGGAGGAGAAAAUUACAAGUCAUGGCUACAAGCGCCUGCGACUGUGGCCCACAAAUGUGACUAAUGGCAUUUCUGAAUGCAGAUUCAGCCGGGGGAUAUUCGAUGGUCCCCAAGGGGGGCGGUGCAGCCAACUCCUUUGCAGUUCUUUAAGUUUAUAGGCAACAAUUUUUAACGCCUUGCCAGCGUGACCAAGGCUACACUGCCACAAAACUAUGGAAUUUGCAAAGUUGUAGAAAAUGCAGAUAUUUAUGGAUAUGUUCUUAGGUGACCAAUCAAAAUAUUCCACUUCUUUAUCCUUUAAAACUCAUUAAACAUACUUAAAUUCACAUAUUUAUUAAUAUCAGAUCAAUUAGUUUCUCCCAGUGCAGCGGAUUCCGUGUGCGUGUGCUUUUCUGCAGCGUCAUUAAUUUUGCCAUGAAUUGACAAAAACAUCAUAAACUACUUGUUGAACAGAAAAUCCACUUCGGGCGACAGCAUCCCAGCAUCUCGGCAAUCCAGCCCACGCGCCAAUGGAGCCAAUAUAUAGGCCGGCGUAGCCAGAGAUCGGGAGUUGGGUGUUGGAACUUGGGAUGGAUUUGGGAGGUGGAGAUGCAAGAUGGAAGAUGCGAGAUUGGAGACUGUUGCCGCCCGGCAGGCUCAUGUUCGACGCUCCGUCUGUGGGGAGCGGCUGGCUCAUAAAUAUGCCAAUGACUUGGCCCCCAUCCGCUGAUCCCCCCUCCGAUCUUCACCAAGUGACCUGCAGCUGGAGGGCUUAUGCCAAAUUAAUGAGUCCAAAGAAUGCAAUCUCCGCCAGAUCAUCGUGCUGUGAUUCAGUGAAGGAGUGGCACAGAUUGCGGUAGUAAAUUGGGCAAACCUAUAAAUGUAACUUAUAGUCUUACUUACAAAUAAGUAUCCUUACCAUAAGAACGCUAUUUAAGUAAAGACCAGACUGCCUUAAAGAAACUCAUCAAUGAAAUCCAUAACAUAUAACAUAUAAACAUAAAAACGAGAACCGUUUGAGAUUACCUAUCUAUAACAUAACUUUUUAUAUCUCGAUCUAUUAGAUUUAAGAUGCAUCUUCACUGUUUUAUAGCAGUUGAUUGGAAAUAUUAGCGCUAUUUUAACGAGACUUUAUUCGCUUUGCACAAAAUAAACCAUUAAAAACAAACACUCAAAUUAAUGUGCUCUAAUUUGCAUAACUCGAGGAUCCAGAUGAUGACCACUUGGUCGACUUGCCCUCUUCCUGCUGACCCACACGGCGUAUGCUCAACGUUAAUUAACGUAAUGACGGCUGGGGGAAACAAACGCAGCACAAUUUAAGCCAACAAACAUUUACAAACAGGCAACAGCAAUUGGAUGUUUAAUGGAUAGCGAGCUGCGAUCAAUACCCUUGUCCCCCAGCACCAAAUCCACCGACGGAUCCCCAAAUCGCAUCUAGAAAAACAAGUAGCCGACAGAGAGUCGGGCAAAAGGUAAAUCGAAGCCGAGAUUAAUAGCGAUAAGGCUAUUGAUUAGCAUUUUAGCCACCGCCAUUAGGAGGAGGAGCUCUGCCCGCGGAGGCAGCACAAAAUCUGUGGCCGCUGUAGAUACUAUCUACACCUGGACGAGAGGAGGCGGGAUCGAUAUCGCUGGAUCGUAAGGUGUUGCAGGCAUGCGAUGUGGAGAUAAUUCAAGCGGAUGCUACAUAGUCCAAAAACCCGACUCCCUGGCUGAUCGCAAAAUUAAGCGCAUGCCGGCAAUUUGCAUAAAAGCAGUUUAAUGUUUAAAUGUUUUAUUGAAUCGGGGCUCGAUUACAAGAUCAGGGGGAGAAAGCAGCAAUGGAGGCGACUCUAAUUUGCAAUGCAAAUCCAGUGCUGAUGCCGAUGCUGCAACUAAACCAUUUGAACCGAUCCCAAGCCAAUGAGAUCCUCCAGUCGCGAUGGCUAUUUGUAAGGAGCCAUCGCAAGCCGGUUUUUUAAUUAUGAAAAAAAAAAAACCGAUAAGUUAUCAUGGGUAGAACGUGCGUGCACCAAAAGUGGGAAACGUUGCUCCAAAACGCUGAUCAGUUGUCAAUCAAAGGGGACGCUGAUGCUUCACACUCGAAUCUGUAGGAGAUCGGCGGGUAGGGUUGGAGGACGGAGGACAUGAAACCAUCAUCAUUAGUCGCUGCCGGAGACAUUGAGACACGUUUGAUAGCAGCCGACGUGCAGCAGCAACAGUUGCAGGAAAAGCUCUAAUUGCGGAAUGGCAGCUGCGAUCUGGAGUCUAAAGUCUGGAGUUCGGAGCUCACAGAGCGCGCUGUUCCAACUCCAGCUCCACAUCGCAGUCGAAACCUUAUCCAACUGUCAGUGGCAGUCAGCGGCGCAAAGUGACGCCUGAUCUUGAACUGGUUCUGCUGGCCGAACGCUACGCGGUGGUCCACGGCCAUCAGAAUCCCAGACAGCCAGCCGCAUAUGCAAGUGGCUCCCGUCGCCGCACGAUCAUAUCCAAUCCAUAUCCAUAUCCAUUCGCAUUACCAUUCCCUCUUGGCCAUUCCAAUUCUGAUAUUUCGUUACCAAUUUUUCUGGCCCUGCUGUGACCAAAUUGCGUAUCGAGUGAUCAACAGAUAUUCAGAGAUUCGGGGUCCGCCGGGGUCUACCACAUGCAGUGUCAUUACUCGAUUGGCGCAGGAAAUCAUAAAUUAAAUUCGAUUGUUUGACAAGGCUCGCGAAAUGUUUCCAUUUGAGCCAUAAGCGUCGCCCCACUCCAAUGCGUUUAUCUACACCGAGGAAAAUCUAUUAGCAUUAGUUGAAAAUUGCAUAGUAUAAUUAAAUUUAUUGAACAUUUGUGUAAUGUAGCCAAAUAACAAAGGCAUAUAACGUUAUAAGGAUGACAAUUGAUUGAUAAAAACAUCAUAUAGUGUAUGAUAUGGGUGUAAGUAUAAGUUUACCACCAUCAUACAUAGGAAUCUAUCUAUCUAUCUAUUUAUCCAUCUAUCUAUCUAUCUAUCUAUCUUUCUCUCUCUCUAUCUAUCUAUCUAUAUAUCUAUCUAUAUAUCUAUCUAUCUAUCUAUCUAUCUAUCUAUCUAUCUAUCUAUCUAUCUAUCUAUCUAUCUAUCUAUCUAUCUAUCUAUCUAUCUAUCUAUCUAUCUAUAUAUCUAUCUAUCUAUCUAUCUAUCUAUCUAUCUAUCUAUCUAUCUAUAUAUCUAUCUAUCUCUCUAUCUAUCUAUCUAUCUAUCUAUCUAUCUAUCUAUCUAUCUAUCUAUCUAUCUCUCUAUCUAUCUAUCUAUAUAUAUUAACGAAUCUAUUAUCUUAUCAAUUGUCGAACUUAUGGUUAAACUAUUUCAAUAUUCUUUUAAAAUGAUAAUACAUUUUUUCUCUCUGCCGGAUCGGAUAUCGCGGGCUCUACAAUUAGUACUACAUGCAACUGCAACUGCAUCUCCAACGUCCAUCGCACUGCGAGAGUCGGAGGAUGCAUCCAAAACGGGCAAGUGGCCGUCUAGCAGCUCGUACAUUCGUGUAAUGUUGGCCAAUGCUCCCCCCCAAAAUUGGCGUGCAGCGGAAAAAUGAGACAACGUGAUCCAAAGGCUCUCCAGCGAUCUAGCCGCAGAUUCCAGCUAGAGCUACAGCUACAGCUCCAGCUCCAUGCAGCACGCACAUAAUUCAUAAAUGUUGCCACAGCUGGCGGGGAUCGGCGGUAUCUGCAUCUGUAUCGGUGUCUGCCGGCUUGGGAGAUUCAUAGGCACGCACUUGGUCGGUCCACUCUGUGCGCCCCGAUCUCCUCCAGUCUUUGGUCUCUGCUCGCCGCAUUGGCCAUCAACACCAAUCGCCAAAUGGCGUUCGUGUGUGGCAAGUGACACACGAGGCGCUGCAGCACAGCUGGAUGCGUUCUCCUCAGCCACUCGCAUCUGGAUCUCUGGACCAGGUGGAUGUGGUGUGCCAACAAUGCCUACAAAUGGGGACCAUCCAUCAGUGCUGAUGGAGCUGGCAUUCCCACAUCCCGGAGAGCUAAGAUCGGGAUAAGCCGUAAAGACAUUAAAUAUAAUCUUCACAAUGAAAAU